rnacentral:rRNA from 1 species
GAUGAACGCUGGCGGCGUGCCUAACACAUGCAAGUCGAGCGAUCUCUUCGGAGAGAGCGGCGGACGGGUGAGUAACGCGUGGGUAACCUGCCCUGUACACACGGAUAACAUACCGAAAGGUAUGCUAAUACGGGAUAAUAUAUAAAAGUCGCAUGGCUUUUAUAUCAAAGCUUUUGCGGUACAGGAUGGACCCGCGUCUGAUUAGCUAGUUGGUAAGGUAACGGCUUACCAAGGCGACGAUCAGUAGCCGACCUGAGAGGGUGAUGGCCACACUGGAACUGAGACACGGUCCAGACUCCUACGGGAGGCAGCAGUGGGGAAUAUUGCACAAUGGGCGAAAGCCUGAUGCAGCAACGCCGCGUGAGCGAUGAAGGCCUUCGGGUCGUAAAGCUCUGUCCUCAAGGAAGAUAAUGACGGUACUUGAGGAGGAAGCCCCGGCUAACUACGUGCCAGCAGCCGCCGCCG